rnacentral:lncRNA from 1 species
GUAGCGAUAUCUUUUGGGUUGUAAAGAUAUGGACAGAAUCAGUGAUUUAUCUGAUGAAUUGCUGAUUAAGAUAUUAACCUCCGUUCCGACAAAACUUGCUGUAUCGACUAGCAUUUUGUCCAAACGAUGGGAGUGUCUUUGGAAGUGGCUGCCUAAACUUGAGUACGAUGAUACAGAUUAUUCAUUGUCUGAAUGUAAGAGGCUGAGGUGUUUUCUUGAUAGAAAUCUGCCAUUACAUAGAGCUCUUGUUAUAGAAAGCUUCCGUCUCCACUUGAAUAAUCAGCAUUUCAAACGUGAAGGUAUCAAACUGUGGCUUCAAUUUGCAGUUUCUCGCUGCCUAAGAGAGCUAGAGGUUUCUUAUUCUAAUCGGAGAAAACGAAAUAUAUCGUUGAGUUGCUUGUAUAACUGCAAAUCGCUUGUGAUCUUGAAACUCAGUGGAGCGAUUCUCGUGGACGUUCCUCGGAUGGUUUCUCUUCCUUCUCUGAAAACAUUGCAACUUCGUGAUGUGACAUACUCAGACAAAAAAUCCCUUCAAAGGUUUCUAUCUAUUUGCCCUGUUCUUGAAGAGCUAUCCGUGGAUUUAGGUGAUGACGAUCAAAUGGGAAAGCUCGCUAUUAGCAUCCGGUCUUUGCAGAGUUUAACACUCAGUGUAGCUUAUGAUUGUGAAGUAGAUGAGCUUGUGAUAGAUACUCCUUCUUUGAAGUAUUUCAAACUCGUGGAUCGGUUUGAUGAUGGUCGCACCUUAUUGGUUGGUAAUAUGCCUGAGCUCAGGGAGGCACAUAUAGAUGUUGAUUACUUUGAUAAUCAUAAUCUUAUCGGAUCAAUCACAUGGGUCAAGCGUCUUACAAUAUCUGCAAAUGUAAGCAGUUUCUAUCUAUCAACUGCAUUUCUUCGAUCUCACUUUAUAUAGAUAUGUAUUCAUGUGUUAAUACUUUUUUUUCAUCUUUAAUUUGCAGCCUUAUUAUGCUUACGCUUUUGUCUUCAACCAACUUGAGCAUUUGAAGCUAUUCAUAGAGAAAUCUUAUUCGUUGGAUCUCCUUGUCCGGUUGCUCAAAGAAUCUCCUAACUUGCAAGUACUAGACCUCUACAAUAUGGAAGUAAGUGUUCCUUGACAAACUAUUAUUUUUUGUCCAUUUCACAAUAUGGUUUAAUCUCAUUUAUUCUGCUUAGAAAAAGUAUCUUAUGUCUGAUGACUUGGAAGCGUGGGAUCAACCUAGUACUGUUCCUGAAUGUAUGUUAUCAAGUCUACGGAUUUUCAGCUGGUCAUUAUACUUUGGAAGACCAGCAGAGAGAGAUCUUGCAGUUUAUAUCUUGGAAAACGCUCGUCUCUUAAAGACUGCAACUAUCUCCUCUAAGAAAUGGUUUGUUCCAAAACUUGAGAUGAUCAAAGAGUUGUCAUUAUCUUCCCGAGCUUCAACCACAUGCCGACUCGAAUUUAAUUGAGGAGCUAAAUCAUUAGAUGUUUUCAUUGAUGUAAUAGGAUUCAGAUUCUUUCAAAUUUUAAUAUUGAGGCUUGAUGGAGACUCCUUAUGUUUUCUUUCCGUUCAAUCUGUUUUUAUUAUUCUUUCUGCCUCUGCCUUUGGUUAUUACUAGUCCUCUGAGUAGCUCAGACAAAAUUUCAAGUCUCUUUACUCACAAAAAAAAAAAGAAAGUCUAUUUACUCUACUGUUAAGGUAACAGAAGAAUCUUAGGGGUUUUGUUUAAGAUCUUAACGUUUUUGGGGUGUUUAAUUGUAUGUUCAGAUCUUAAUUUUUCUUAAUCAGUGUUCCUCAAUGUUUGUUGAUGAGCCUUGUAAGCGUAUAAGAGAGAGAUCUCGCGACAUAUAUAAAUCUUGAUAAACUCUCUCUGAUUAAAGAGUGCAACAAUCUUGAUUGGAUCAGAGAUGGAUCCACAAUAAAACGCUAAAUGUCUUAAUAUCAAACCCAUAAAGAAAAAAAUUAAGACUAGUUAGUAAUAUAAAUAUAGAGUUAACGUUCUGAUCCAACGAAAUCUCCAUAGAUGAAACUUUUUUUUGUGGGAGUCCAAUCAUGGGUUUUAUAGAUUGCAUGUUCCAAACAAACCAUGCAGAAAUGUUCACUAGAAAAGAUCAUCAAAAUGACUUAAAACCAAAAACCCUAAAUAUUAGUCAUUGUGCUUUUAGGUGGGACGUGUCUCAAUGAAAAAAGUAUUUGAUAUUAUUGCACUAUCUUGCUCAUUACCUAUCCCCUUCUUUAAUGUUUUUUUUAGAGUUUGUGUGAAGUUUUAUCUCAGGAUAGUCCAGUUAAUCUAAUAUAUAAGCUAUAAAAUAAAAGUCACGGAUGAAUUAAAAUUGUUAAAAAAAAUUUUUACAUAAUCUGAAUUUUUUUUGCUCGAACAUAAUCUGAAAUUUCAAAUUCAAAACUAAACAAAACACUGCAGAAGACUUAAAAAAAAAAAACAACUCUGUAAUGAAAUCGAAUAAUUAUAGGUCAUCAUCAAUUACAAAUGAAGCUGUGCGACCUAAGACUUAGCCCAAAAUGUUUAUAUCUGCAAAUUCCACUAUUCUACUUUUGGCUAAAACAAUUCCACUUAUCCAUAAAUUGAUAAUAGAUUACAAGAAUUUUAAGAAUCGGAAUAGUCAGCGGCGGAGGUAGCAGAGGAAGAGUGGGGUCCAGUGCCUCCUAGUUUAUAUUUUUUUAAAUAUUUAAGCAAAUUUAAUUAAAAAAAUUAUUUUAAUGGAAAAAAGUGGUAAAAAAAGUUUUUUGCUCCAACUAAUUUUUAUUCUAGAUUUGUCAUUGGAAAUAUGAGUAUGAAUAAUUAUAACAAAUGACCAUCCCGACAAGACUAUUUGCAAAAAUGAUCAAGAGCAGCAGACGACACUGUUCAAUUUUUUUAAAUACCCUUUAGCCCCUACUCAUCUAUGCGACUACCUACACUAUAGAGGAAAUUUUGUCAGAUUCCCCAAAAAUAAAAUAUUGAUUAUAAUCUAGACUUUGUCCCUACGUGGCAUUAAUUUGGGAAAUUAUUCAAUUGUAACACCUUUUCAAACCAAAAAUUCAUCUGGUGUUUAUCUUUCUGGCAACAGAACCGACGUUUACAAAAGACAUCAUUUCACAUAUUUUUUAUCGGCUCUGGAGACUGUACAAAUUUCGAAAUCGGGUGAGUGCUCCUUUAACCAAGAUGGAACCAUUGCUGCCGAAGAGAAUAUCGCCGCUAGCGAAGAACCAGGCGGCAAGAGAGUUAAUUGCUAUCACCAGUAUGAUAAGUGUGCAUCUAUCUGAAUUGGUUGCACACUGGUAUAGUCACCUGAUUUCUCCAUCAUUGAUCAAAUUAAAUUUCUUUUCUGGUUUUUUUUUAAGGAAAAACAACUUCGUAUUCAACUGUUAGAACGAUGAUGAUCCUAUUAGAUUGAUGCUAACGUAUAUAAUAGUGUGUAUUUAUCUGAAUUACUUUUAUAAUUUUAUUGUUAGACUGCUAACAAUAUAUAUAGAGUGUUAUAUAUAUUUGUAGCGUACUAACUACAAAAAUAACAUCUAUAACAAUCUAGAUAAUUUAUUAUUGUUAUCAAUCUAACAUAUUUUUUACCAUGUUAACUAUAAGGUUAGACAUUAAUUUAUAUGUUACGUGCUAAAUAUAUCAAUAACAUCUUUAAUCAUUUAUAUAACUCAUUCUUGUUAGCAAUUUAACAUAUUUUUUAUCUAGUAAAUUAUAAUGUUGGACGUUAAUUUAUAUGUAACAUGCUGAGUAUAUCAAUAAUAUCUUUAAUCAUCUAUAUAACUCAUUAUUGUUAUCAAUCUAACAUUAUUUUUAUCGUGUAUAUAAUAAUUGUUAAUCUAUAUCAAAAUAUGUAACUUGUUAUUAUAAUGUAUAUGAUACGUCUAGGAAAAAAAAUUUGUGUGGCUGUAAUUUCUUGCAUAAAGAUAUUGCCUACUCUACUUAUAUUUUAGUUCCCUAUAGAUUGUACCAUACUGUCAGAACCUGCUGUUCAUGUUAAGCUUCGGUAAAAUAUCUGGGGGUAAGAUUGUCAUUACUGAUGACCAUGAACACAGUGAUAACAAUUUUUGGUGGACCCUUGGUCAUGCAGCUAAUUUCGUUCCCUAUUUGGUAUAUUCACCUAAUUCACUCGAAUUAACAAGAGUACAAAAAAAUUUUAAUAAAAAAAUGUUAGUAAUUUGAACUUUUAUUUAUUUAUUUUUAAAUCAAAAAGAAAAAAAAAUGCUUGCUGAAAAGUAAAUUUGAGUAUUUAUCAAUAUCUACCGUCGGAUAGUAUCAAAAUGAAUUGGGCUAUUAGUACUGAAAAGGCCAGAUUGGCGUAGAGCCAGGCCCAAGCCCAUGGCCACCACCUGAGACCAUGUUCGUCUUUUCUUCUUCCCAUUUCUGCAGUCUACUAUCAGUAUCUAUUCAGAAUUGAAAUGGCUAUAGAGUAGUUGUUGACAUUUGCUUCGACAGAUGUUCGGACGCUUUUGAAUUGUCUUCUGAUUCCGGUUCCAGAGUGAAAAUCGAACUCUACAGGUAAAAUUCUCAUUACCUAACAAUCCAGCUUUUUUUCUAGGGUUUUGCUGUCACGUUCCUCUUUGGUGUCUGUGUUUUCACUUGUUAAUAAUUCGUUUGGUUGGCUUUUAGGAUCUGAAAGAUGUCUUUUUUUCUUUCUUUUAUCAGGUAGCGAUAUCUUUUGGGUUGUAAAGAUAUGGACAGAAUCAGUGAUUUAUCUGAUGAAUUGCUGAUUAAGAUAUUAACCUCUGUUCCGACAAAACUUGCUGUAUCAACUAGUAUUUUGUCCAAACGAUGGGAGUGUCUUUGGAAGUGGCUGCCUAAACUUGAGUACGAUGAUACAGAUUAUUCAGUGUCUGAAUGUAAGAUGUUAAGGUGUUUUCUCGAC